rnacentral:rRNA from 1 species
GUGGGGAAUUUUGGACAAUGGGGGCAACCCUGAUCCAGCCAUUCCGCGUGAGUGAAGAAGGCCUUCGGGUUGUAAAGCUCUUUCAGUCGGAACGAAACGGUCAUCUCUAACAUAGGUGGCUAAUGACGGUACUGACAGAAGAAGCACCGGCUAACUACGUGCCAGCAGCCGCGGUAAUACGUAGGGUGCGAGCGUUAAUCGGAAUUACUGGGCGUAAAGCGUGCGCAGGCGGAUUGUUAAGCAAGACGUGAAAUCCCCGGGCUUAACCUGGGAAUGGCGUUUUGAACUGGCAGUCUAGAGUGCGUCAGAGGGGGAUGGAAUUCCGCGUGUAGCAGUGAAAUGCGUAGAGAUGCGGAGGAACACCGAUGGCGAAGGCAGCCUCCUGGGAUGACACUGACGCUCAUGCACGAAAGCGUGGGGAGCAAACAGGAUUAGAAACCCUUGUAGUCC